rnacentral:tRNA from 1 species
AGGGAUGUAGCUCAGUAGUAGAGUGCCUGGUUACCAUAUUGAAGGCCUUGGGUUCAAUCCCCAAUACUCUUU